GACGAACCACACAAACGUUAUUCGGAAUUACUGGGCUUAAAGGGUGCGUAGGCGGCGCGGAAAGUAGGGUGUGAAAUCCCUCGGCUCAACCGAGGAAUUGCGCCCUAAACUACCGUGCUCGAGGGAGAUAGAGGUGAGCGGAACUUAGGGUGGAGCGGUGAAAUGCGUUGAUAUCCUAAGGAACGCCAGUGGCGAAAGCGAAUCUCUGGGCAGCAACUGACGCUGAGGCACGAAGGCCAGGGGAGCAAACGGG
rnacentral:rRNA from 1 species